CCCGCGCUUUACCUUACCCCCCCUAGAGACUCAGCCUAUAUACCGCCGUCGCCAGCCCAUCGCGCGUGAGUGAACCAUCGAGGACGCAAGAAUUAUAAACUAAAACGACAGGUCAAGGUGUAGCUAAUGGGGGGGACAGAGAUGAGCUACAUUUUCUUUACUAGAAAACACCAACCACAGGAUGAAACAUCCUGCCACCAGGCGGAUUUANAAGUAAGCCUUGGCAAGACAGGCCAAUCUGAAUGUGCCCUGGGACG
rnacentral:rRNA from 1 species